rnacentral:pre_miRNA from 15 species
AUUCAACUGUCAUAUGAGUGGUGGCUUGGUGGUCGUAUGUAUGACGUCAUUUACUUGGACUUUUAGGAGUGACAUCAUAUGUACGGCUGCUAAACUGCUGCAUGGGACAUCACUUAAGCA